rnacentral:miRNA from 1 species
UACCUGCUGUCUGCUGCUUACC